AGAGUUUGAUCAUGGCUCAGGACGAACGCUGGCGGCGUGCCUAAUGCAUGCAAGUCGAGCGGGCUACGAUCUUCGGAUUGUAGCUUAGCGGCGAACGGGUGAGUAACACGUAGGUAAUCUACCCUUCAGAGGAGGACAACCUCAGGAAACUGAGGCUAAACCUUCAUACGUUCACUGGUAGGGAUACUGGUGAAGAAAGAGUUACCUUAGUGGUAGCUGCUGAAGGAUGAGCCUGCGGCCCAUCAGGUAGUUGGUGAGGUAACGGCUCACCAAGCCGAAGACGGGUAACCGGUCUGAGAGGAUGUCCGGUCACACUGGGACUGAGACACGGCCCAGACUCCUACGGGAGGCAGCAGCAGGGAAUCUUGGGCAAUGGGCGAAAGCCUGACCCAGCGACGCCGCGUGGAGGAAGAAGUCCUUCGGGGCGUAAACUCCUGGACUGGGGGACGAGGAAGGACGGUACCCCAGUAGAAAGGGACGGCUAACUACGUGCCAGCAGCCGCGGUAAAACGUAGGUCCCGAGCGUUGUUCGGAUUCACUGGGUGUAAAGGGCGCGUAGGUGGUUGUCUGUGUCUCAUGUGAAAACUCAGGGCUCAACUCUGAGAUUGCGUGGGAAACUAGGCAGCUAGAGGACGGUAGAGGGGA
rnacentral:rRNA from 1 species